rnacentral:rRNA from 1 species
AUUGAACGCUGGCGGCAGGCUUAACACAUGCAAGUCGAGCGGGGAAAGGUAGCUUGCUACCUGACCUAGCGCGGACGGGUGAGUAAUGCUUAGGAAUCUGCCUAUUAGUGGGGGACGACAUUCCGAAAGGAAUGCUAAUACCGCAUACGCCCUACGGGGGGGGGAAAGCAGGGGAUCUUCGGACCUUGCGCUAAUAGAUGAGCCUAAGUCAGAUUAGCUAGUUGGUGGGUAAAGGCCUACCAAGGCGACGAUCUGCAGCGGGUCUGAGAGGAUGAUCCGCCACACUGGGACUGAGACACGGCCCAGACUCCUACGGGAGGCAGCAGUGGGGAAUAUUGGACAAUGGGCGAAAGCCUGAUCCAGCCAUGCCGCGUGUGUGAAGAAGGCCUUUUGGUUGUAAAGCACUUUAAGCGAGGAGGAGGCUACUUAGAUUAAUACUCUAGGAUAGUGGACGUUACUCGCAGAAUAAGCACCGGCUAACUCUGUG